AACGAACGCUGGCGGCAUGCCUAACACAUGCAAGUCGAACGAGACCUUCGGGUCUAGUGGCGCACGGGUGCGUAACGCGUGGGAACCUGCCCUUAGGUUCGGAAUAACUCCCCGAAAGGGGUGCUAAUACCGGAUAAUGUCUUCGGACCAAAGAGUUAGCGCCUUGGGAUGGGCCCGGGUUGGAUUAGCUAGUUGGUGGGGGAAAAGCCUACCAAGGCGACGAUGGAUAGCUGGUCGGACAGGAUGAUCGGCCACACUGGGACUGAGACACGGCCCAAACUCGUACGGGAGGGAGCAGGGGGGAAUGGUGCACGAGGGGCGGAGGCCUGAUGCAGCAACGCCGCUUGCCGGAUGACGGCCUGCGGGUUGUAAUCCGCUUUCGCCUGUGACGAAGCGUGAGUGACGGUAAUGGGUAAAGAAGCACCGGCUCGCUACGUG
rnacentral:rRNA from 1 species